rnacentral:rRNA from 1 species
GAUGAACGCUGGCGGCGUGCCUAAUACAUGCAAGUCGAGCGAACGGACGAGAAGCUUGCUUCUCUGAUGUUAGCGGCGGACGGGUGAGUAACACGUGGAUAACCUACCUAUAAGACUGGGAUAACUUCGGGAAACCGGUGCUAAUACCGGAUAAUAUUUUGAACCGCAUGGUUCAAAAGUAAAAGACGGUCUUGCUGUCACUUAUAGAUUGAUCCGCGCUGCAUUAGCUAGUUGGUAAGGUAACGGCUUACCAAGGCAACGAUGCAUAGCCGACCUGAGAGGGUGAUCGGCCACACUGGAACUGAGACACGGUCCAGACUCCUACGGGAGGCAGCAGUAGGGAAUCUUCCGCAAUGGGCGAAAGCCUGACGGAGCAACGCCGCGUGAGUGAUGAAGGUCUUCGGAUCGUAAAACUCUGUUAUUAGGGAAGAACAUAUGUGUAAGUAACUGUGCACAUCUUGACGGUACCUAAUCAGAAAGCCACGGCUAACUACGUG